GAUGAACGCUGGCGGCGUGCCUAAUACAUGCAAGUCGAGCGAAUGGAUUAAGAGCUUGCUCUUAUGAAGUUAGCGGCGGACGGGUGAGUAACACGUGGGUAACCUGCCCAUAAGACUGGGAUAACUCCGGGAAACCGGGGCUAAUACCGGAUAACAUUUUGAACCGCAUGGUUCGAAAUUGAAAGGCGGCUUCGGCUGUCACUUAUGGAUGGAACCGCGUCGCAUUAGCUAGUUGGUGAGGUAACGGCUCACCAAGGCAACGAUGCGUAGCCGACCGGGGAGGGUGAUCGGCCACACGGGGACUGAGACACGGCCCAGACUCCGACGGGAGGCAGCAGUAGGGAAUCUUCCGCAAUGGACGAAAGUCUGACGGAGCAACGCCGCGUGAGUGAUGAAGGCUUUCGGGUCGUAAAACUCUGUUGUUAGGGAAGAACAAGUGCUAGUUGAAUAAGCUGGCACCUUGACGGUACCUAACCAGAAAGCCACGGCUAACUACGUGCCAGCCGCCGCCGUAA
rnacentral:rRNA from 1 species